GAUGAACGCUGGCGGCGUGCCUAAUACAUGCAAGUCGAGCGAACGGACGAGAAGCUUGCUUCUCUGACGUUAGCGGCGGACGGGUGAGUAACACGUGGAUAACCUACCUAUAAGACUGGGAUAACUUCGGGAAACCGGAGCUAAUACCGGAUGAUAUUUUGAACCGCAUGGUUCAAUAGUGAAAGACGGUUUUGCUGUCACUUAUAGAUGGAUCCGCGCUGCAUUAGCUAGUUGGUAAGGUAACGGCUUACCAAGGCAACGAUGCGUAGCCGACCUGAGAGGGUGAUCGGCCACACUGGAACUGAGACACGGUCCAGACGCCUACGGGAGGCAGCAGUAGGGAAUCUUCCGCAAUGGGCGAAAGCCUGACGGAGCAACGCCGAGUGAGUGAUGAAGGUCUUCGGAUCGUAAAACUCUGUUAUUAGGGAAGAACAUAUGUGUAAGUAACUGUGCACAUCUUGACGGUACCUAAUCAGAAAGCCACGGCUAACUACGUG
rnacentral:rRNA from 1 species